rnacentral:rRNA from 1 species
UGCAAGUCGAACGGUAGCACAGAGAGCUUGCUCUCGGGUGACGAGUGGCGGACGGGUGAGUAAUGUCUGGGAAACUGCCUGAUGGAGGGGGAUAACUACUGGAAACGGUAGCUAAUACCGCAUAACGUCGCAAGACCAAAGAGGGGGACCUUCGGGCCUCUUGCCAUCAGAUGUGCCCAGAUGGGAUUAGCUAGUAUGUGGGGUAACGGCUCACCUAGGCGACGAUCCCUAGCUGGUCUGAGAGGAUGACCAGCCACACUGGAACUGAGACACGGUCCAGACUCCUACGGGAGGCAGCAGUGGGGAAUAUUGCACAAUGGGCGCAAGCCUGAUGCAGCCAUGCCGCGUGUAUGAAGAAGGCCUUCGGGUUGUAAAGUACUUUCAGCGGGGAGGAAGGUGUUGUGGUUAAUAACCACAGCAAUUGACGUUACCCGCAGAAGAAGCACCGGCUAACUCCGUGCCAGCAGCCGCGGUAAUACGGAGGGUGCAAGCGUUAAUCGGAAUUACUGGGCGUAAAGCGCACGCAGGCGGUCUGUCAAGUCGGAUGUGAAAUCCCCGGGCUCAACCUGGGAACUGCAUUCGAAACUGGCAGGCUGGAGUCUUGUAGAGGGGGGUAGAAUUCCAGGUGUAGCGGUGAAAUGCGUAGAGAUCUGGAGGAAUACCGGUGGCGAAGGCGGCCCCCUGGACAAAGACUGACGCUCAGGUGCGAAAGCGUGGGGAGCAAACAGUAUUAGAUACCCUGGUAGUCCACGCCGUAAACGAUGUCGAUUUGGAGGUUGUGCCCUUGAGGCGUGGCUUCCGGAGCUAACGCGUUAAAUCGACCGCCAGGGGAGUACGGCCGCAAGGUUAAAACUCAAAUGAAUUGACGGGGGCCCGCACAAGC